UACGUAGGGUGCAAGCGUUGUCCGGAAUUAUUGGGCGUAAAGAGCUCGUAGGCGGUCUGUCGCGUCGGCUGUGAAAUCCCGGAGCUCAACUCCGGGUCUGCAGUCGAUACGGGCAAACUGGAGUACUGCAGGGGAGACUGGAAAUUCCUGGUGUAGCGGUGAAAUGCGCAGAUAUCAGGAGGAACACCGGUGGCGAAAGGCGGGUCUCUGGGCAGUAACUGACGCUGGAGGAGCGAAAGCCGUGGGGAGCGAAACAGG
rnacentral:rRNA from 1 species